rnacentral:lncRNA from 1 species
AUGGAAAUGAGCAAUCAAAUUGGUACUGGGUUCAUAUCAACUUUUAAAGUCCAGACUAAAUUAAGUUCAGCAGUAGAAGGAUUGUAUCGGCAGUUCUUUAGCAGUAUUGUGGUCUAUGGGGAAAGCCAAAGGCUGCACCUGGAGGCAUCUCACCAUCACUCUGAGUGUUUUCAUAAAUUCUCUCUCAAGUUCUUGUUUGUGAAUACUGCACUGUGGGAGCACCUAUGCAAGAGCUAUUGGUUGCAGAAUUUUUUUUACUUCACCAUGAUGCACAGCUUUCCAAGCCUGUUCCCAUGUCCUGUGUUUGGUCAUUAAACAGGCAGUAAACACAUUUAUCUCAGUUUUUGUUUGAACUAGAGCUUUAUUUGCUCACUGGGGUUGAGUCUAAUGCUGGAUUUUGCUUUUGACUUCUACUGUUUUAAAGUAAUCUUUCAGUACCUUCAAGUGCCUGUAUUAGUGGGUUUUAUUACUUUCAUUUCUAGGCCUUAGGUUCAUAGAUUUAUAAUGUCUUGUCCAAUUCUGAUGGUAACCUCUACCAGUAGUUGCAAGAACUGUGCCUUUGUAAAAGAAAAUCUAGUGCUCUCUGGACAUCCGUUCUGCCUGUGCUCUGUGUAGAGGGAUACACAGCUGUGCGAUUUAUCUGUUUAACCUUCAGACUUAGGGUUCCUCAGUGCCAUGUUAAUACUUGCAGGACUAUUGUGCAGUUUAAAAAAAUAAUAGUGAUGCUUAUUUCCAUUUGUUGCUGUUUACAAACACAUACGUUUCCAGAAAUGGGCUGCUAAUUUUUCACUGGAUUUGACUGUCUGAAGUUCCCAGUAGAAGAAAAAUAGAUUUUGCAUACCAUAGACCAUAAAUUCUUUACCUUUUUAUUACAAAUAUUUUGCUCCCACCCCUCCUUUCUACUGCCUCUUCGCCUUCCUUUCUCCUUUUUGGAGACUUAUCUUGCAGGAACAGCAAGAGAGAUUUGGUGCUAAAGGAAAAGGGACUUUAGAGCAUUUCGGUGUUAUUACAAGAAACAAUAGGCAGUAAUUUUGACUGAAAAACAUGUCAGUGAUUUUUAUGUGAAAACUGAUGUUUGGAGUAGCAGCUUUUGUCUUUGAUCACUUCUUUCAAAAGAGAUUGUUUUGUCCCUCUAUUUGUAGGAUGCUGACAGCUGUACCUUGAUCAUUUUCUUCACAGAAAAAAACACCCAAGUAUUUAUGGAUAAUUCAAUUUCUUUUCUGAUUCAGAGUCCUGUCUUUGCCAUUGUCCAUGACAUGAACUUUAUCCACUUCCAAAAUGUCCAGAUUUCCUUACAUAUGUGACUAGCUUCUAU